CGAGGGCGGGGUGGUCGUCCCGCCCCGCUACGACCGCGGCGACUGGCGCGAGGGCGACGGGGUGUUCCACGCCGACGCCCUCGCC
rnacentral:tRNA from 1 species